UAUGAAAAUAUUUGAAGCUAGAGUAUAUGAAGUUUUAUCCAAAUAUUUCAAGGAAAAAGACACUAUGGUAACUACUAUUAAGUCAGGUUAUAUAGUGGUGAAGUACUAGGUUAUUGAAACAGUCAUGCUGUGACCUCUAUUGUUAUAUUGUUAUGUCCUGUUUUAUCUCAAUCUCCCCCUUAUUGUUUCAAAAAAAAAUUUAUUUAGUCAUUUCUUAUGUUGGUCUUAAUUAAAGAAAAAAUUCAAAAAAAAUUAGGAUAUAUAAAUAGUAACUCUUUUCGAUUUCCUAUUAACUUGUUUUGAAGUCCUGUAGUACUCCCACGAUCUUGUUUUGACUGAUUAGACUCUGUUCCAUUCUAUAUGAUAGUAUCAAGUUUGAAGAUAUAGGCAACUACUUUGAAGACAGUAAGAUUCACUAAGAUACCCAUUCUGGUUUGACUAUUGUCUUCUUUGGAAGUCCUGUAAUGUUUACAAUGCCUAAGUUUUAUUGGUCUUGUUCUCUACUGUUUUGUCCAACUUUAUAAUAUCUAAUAAGAUAGACAAUUCUUUUUAAGGAAACAAGGGACAACGUUGAUAACCAUUGUUGAUAAACUUGUACUCUGUUCUACACCAUGUGCUAUGUCUAUCCUUGGUAUUGACUGAUAGCUUUGUUUUGCCAUAUUUGACUGCAUUCUUCCCCCCCCCCCAAAGAAAGUAAUAAGCACUAAGGAGUAAUAAAAUCCAAGAUGUGUAAAUUUUGUGGUAAAAAAAGAGAGGGAAAAAAAAAAAAAAAGAAAAAGAGCUCUGGAUAUAACAGCAAGUGUGUUUGGGGGUGUUAAAUAGCUGACUUUAUCAAUGUUUUUGGAACAUUGAACACAGCUGUUUGCAGUCUCCCUGUUUGAAUGUCCACCUUGUGUUCUUUGAUACUGUAAUUUGAGGAACUAUUUUCAAGAAAAUAGUGUGUAAUCUACUAGCAGGUAAUUUCUUACUGUUAUGGUUUUUUGUUUCGUUUUGUUUUGUUUUGUUUUGUAGUUCUGUAUUGCGUGUACCCUUACGCCGCUUUGGUUUGUUUUGUGUUUUUCUCUUUUUCCUCUUAAAUUAAAAAAAAAAAAAAAAAAAAAAACAAAGGCAGCCGGAGGGGGUCCCGGGGAGGUGAGGAGCCACCCCCUCCUCUGCCCACAGCAGCUGGGAUGCCUUCCCCUGGCUCCCCGCCCCAAAGAAGACCUUAAUGCGGCUGUCAGGCUGUUUAUUUUUAGGCUCCAGGCAGUUCUGCGGCUCUGGACUUUCCCCUCCCACAGCUGUUGCUGCUGCCACCCUAAGCCCCCACUUAUAGGUGCUCCCCUCGUGCGCCUUUGUUGGCCUGGACAAGCUGGGGAGUGGUGACCUAGUCUGAGAGAAGGAGAUGGCCACCUGGGUCCCUCAGCUCUUUGCUGGCUGCUGAGCGAGGCCCACCGGCCCUGUAGUUGCUCAGCCUUGUCUGUCCUAAGCAUCCUACCAAGGACUGCCAGCCCAGGCCUGCGACGGGAUUGACCCGAGGACCUUCACCCUGAGUGGCGUCUCCAGCCCUCUUUAUUUAUUUAUUUUAUUUGCAGACAGGGUUUGAAAUUAACAUCAUCCUGCCUCAGCCUCCCCAAGUGCCUUGGGAUUACAGGAAAUGCACAAUCCCUCCAGCUGCACCCCUGGCAGUCAUGGUGACCCCUGGCAGGGCUGCCGCAGCUGUAUCGUCACUGGAGGUUCACCGUCACUGCUGUGGACAAAUCGAGGCGUAAUUCUACUUUUCUGACUUUCCAGCACAGUGAGGUCCUUCCUGGGUGUGUAAUUCAAACCUCCUCAGUGGAUCUUUAAAUCCGCUCUGAAACAGAGGUGACCUGUGGAGAGCAGGCUGGGAAGAGGAGCAGAGUCACUUUUUUAUUCUGCUUUUAUGUGGCUUCAGCUGUAAUCAAGAAAUGGACUUUUAAAAAUCUUUUGAAAUCUAAAAGGGAGAUGAAAGAGGCCAGCCAAUCAGAGCCGUGGCUGUACUGGACAGGCCUCGUCCAGGACUGGACACAGCGGGUGGGUUGGUGCCUCUGUUCUUUUUUUUUUUUUUUUUUUUUUGUCAUGAAAUUGUAUUUUUUUUAUUUUAAAGAGAAAAAAAAAACCCACAGGAAAGAAAACCAAAAACAAGAGACAUACAAAUAACAACUAGAAGAACAACAAAAAACCCAAAACAAUAACAAUAAAAGCUUUCAAAGCAAGAUGACAGGAA